GUUUGAACCCGGCGCGCAGCAGCCAAUCAGAGCGUAGGUUUUUGUCUCGCGCAGGGCCGCUGCAUGUUUGCUCAUCAUGUCCUCGACUGAUGCUAAUAGUGGCCCCAGUCAAGCACCACCUUUUCCUGGUGUCCCCCCACCUUCAGGAAUCCCCCUGCACUUUAUGGGACCACCAGGAAUCCCGCCUCACUUCCCUCCAAUGGGAAUGCCACCCA